UACGAAGGGGGCUAGCGUUGCUCGGAUUGACUGGGCGUAAAGGGCACGUAGGCGGCUUUGUAAGUUAGAGGUGAAAGCCCGGGGCUCAACUCCGGAAUUGCCUUUAAGACUGCAUCGCUAGAAUUGUGGAGAGGUAAGUGGAAUUCCGAGUGUAGAGGUGAAAUUCGUAGAUAUUCGGAAGAACACCAGUGGCGAAGGCGACUUACUGGACACAUACUGACGCUGAGGCGCGAAAGCGUGGGGAGCAAACAGG
rnacentral:rRNA from 1 species